AUAUUUUUCAGAUAUGCAUCCCUUGCACAACAGUCCUUCAUUUUUAAAGCUUAUUGAUGAAGAUGACCCGAUAUUUUUGGUGAAGAGCUUCUUUCAGACUCCUUCCCCUACAAGGAACUAUUGAAUGGGUUCCUAUGAGAAGUUAAAGAAAAGUUAUGGAUAAUGAAAACAAUGCUCCUUCGUUAUUAAAGUCGAUUGAGGACUAUGAUCCUAUAUUUUUCGAAUUAUUCGUCGACCAAAAACAGGUUAGUUCAGUUUUGUUGGUGUUGUUUGUUUUUUGAUAUGUAUAGUCUUUCUUUUUUAUUUUU